GCCCCACCUCUAAGGCCAUGUUAGGACAGUGAUGUGAAGCAAUUUACAUACAUAUCCAUUAUAUUUUUUCCUCCUCUAUCAAUUUUAUCUCCUGGAAGAUGUGAAAGAUUAGGAACUUUAUCAACCGACGUUUCCAUCCACUAGUCUUGCAAGCAACCAGCUAUAAUUUUAUUUUUUGCACGAAUAAAAUCCCCCUUCAUCUGCAGGAUGUCACAAUCAACCGUCUCCCAGCACUAACUAAGGGGAGAUCACUGAUGGACUACAAAAAACAGAUGCUGCACUGGGAUUUGAAAACCCUACAGCAUUUUUGUUUUUGGCCAAAGUACAAGAAGUGCAUCCCGAAAAAAGACUAGCAUCAUGCUUGAGAGCUGCUGAUUGGAACUACAGGAAGUUGAUUGCAUUAACUGCUGCAUAAGCCAGGCAUACAGGAAGGGUGAUUGGACAGACAGGAAAUUUGGGGUGUGAUGCGAGAGAGACCGCAUUACACAGAGGAAGGCCUACUUAACUGUAAAUGCAGAUAUGAAAGAUUAAGAUAUGGUGAAAUGUCACCUACUGUGGACUGAAGUCAUGCAAAGGCAGCCAAGCAGAAAGAAUGGUGUCAAUCUAAUUACAUCACUACCAACCGAAGUUAAUGUGAAAGAUAUGGAUUGCAGCAAAAACCACGAGGUAGCAUAGUGUCUGCACAUGGCCACAUCACAACCAUUAUUUAUAAAGCUCUGUAAACAACAGUAAAUUUCCAACAUGAAAGAAAAGAUACUCACAACUCCAUCAAGGUCAAGGGCAGCAGCUUCAAGAAAUAAGAUGUGACAGAAGACAAUAUGGCAGGAAUACAUGAAUGGGCGCAAGCUGCGCAACUGUCUGAUGUAUAAGUACGGAGAAUUGGACUCCAAGUGAUGUUUUAUCCACCUCACAGAGGGGAUUGAUAACAACAGAUCUAUGUGUAAAGGACUGGUGCCAGGCAAUCCAAUGAAACAAAAAUGGACAAUGCAUGAGCUUUUUUUUCGAAACAAAUUAGUACUCUUUGAAGCUACACAAGUAAAUAACUUGUUUGCUUCGAUUAAAGGUUUGUUCUUAUAAA